rnacentral:rRNA from 1 species
ACUCCUGCGGGAGGCAGCAGUGAGGAAUAUUGGACAAUGGGUGGAAGCCUGAUCCAGCCAUCCCGCGUGCAGGAAGACGGCCCUAUGGGUUGUAAACUGCUUUUAUCUGGGGAUAAACCUACUUACGUGUAAGUAGCUGAAGGUACCAGAAGAAUAAGCACCGGCUAACUCCGUGCCAGCAGCCGCGGUAAUACGGAGGGUGCAAGCGUUAUCCGGAUUUAUUGGGUUUAAAGGGUCCGUAGGCGGACUGAUAAGUCAGUGGUGAAAUCCGACAGCUUAACUGUCGAACUGCCAUUGAUACUGUUAGUCUUGAGUAAGGUUGAAGUGGCUGGAAUAAGUAGUGUAGCGGUGAAAUGCAUAGAUAUUACUUAGAACACCAAUUGCGAAGGCAGGUCACUAAGUCUUAACUGACGCUGAUGGACGAAAGCGUGGGGAGCGAACAGGAUUAGAAACCCCAGUAGUCCCAUG